ensembl:lncRNA
UUACAAGCUAGUGAUCCUCUGCAAUUAUCCAUCAGUUAGCGUCGAGGGGGGAGCACACUUAGAGGGGGCUCUGCAGACCCCUGUAAGUGACAAUCACAAGGGGAUCAGACCUGAGGGACCAGGAAGGGGCAGCUAGCCCGGUGGAAGGCUCCGCUAAUGUGCGAUGAGUGCUCGGGCAGAGAGCGUGAAGGUAGACAGGCAGCAGGUGGACAGACAGGGAGACCCUCCCAUUAUUUUCAUUAGGGCUGAAUGAAAGGAUUGGGCAGGCUUAUUACCGGCCUGCGACACUGACAGCCUAUUUGUUCGAGACUUCGUUUUUCGGAUCGUUAGAUAUUGAUCGUGUGGAAAGUCAACGAUAUUUCAACAUUCAACAAUAUGACUUCUACAAUAAAUGAGCUACCCUAGCUUCAAAAAGCAGGCAAUGGUGAGACGGUAAUGGGAUGGUAAUUAAGGAGCAGUUAAGGGUUAGACAGUACAGAGACAGGUCAUUAAGGAGCAGGUAGGGUCAGACAGUCCAGAGACAGCUCAUUACGGAGCAGGUAGGGGUUAGGCAGUACAGAGACAGGUAAUUAAGGAGCAGGUAGAGGUUAGACAGUAGUGAGACAGGUCAUUAAGGAGCAGGUAGGGGUUGGAUAGUACAGAGACAGUUCAUUAAAGACAAGGUAGGGGUUGGACAGUACAGAGACAGGUCAAUAAAGACCAGGUAGGGGUUGGACAGUAUAUUUAGAUAGGGAGCAUUAAGGAAAAUAUAAAUGUUCUCCUCAUGGACGUCUAUAGGCUAGACUUCAGACACCUGGGUCCUUAUCUUUCAUCCAGCGCAAUUGACUUUCUACACUGACGCAUGUGUCGUUGCUAGUUUGCAACUGGCGCAGCGCGUUCUUUUCCCUCCACCGCCACGCGUCUGUAAAAAUUAGGGAAUGAUCUUGCGCCCCAAGGGGCGGUUCGGCGAAAGGAAGAGGCGUGUUCUGGCGCAAACGUUCCCUGGUGCUUUUUUGCAGUUUCAGAAAACAAUUCCGCCACAAACCAGGAAAUACCUGGUUUAAAGUGAGUGGCGCGUUGUUCAGAUGCUAUUUUAAGGACGCAUGCAUAAUAUUGCUUGUGCACCUCGCGCAUACACUUUGCUUCUCUCAUCUACCUAGCCACACAUUCUUGGUAAAUUAUUUUGGAAAGAACAGCUGAUACAGCGGUAAUAAGUUGUACUUUUAAAUCAAUGCAUCUGCAAACACUGUACAGACAUCGUGUACAAGCCCAUAACUUUAAGGAUUGAUAAGUAUUUGAUCGUCAGAAAACAUUGUUUUACCACGAUGGAGUGUUAAAAUUAAUGAAUGAAUGCCGGCGAGUGUGUGUGUAUGUGUAAAAUAAUUAAUGAAUGUGGGCGCGCGUGUGUGCGUCCAUCUGUUUAAACUAGAGCUGUCAAGCGAUUAAAAUAUUUAAUCGUGAUUAAUCGCAUUAAUGUCAUAGUUAACUCUAAUUAAUCGCGAUUAAUCGCAAAUUAUUUUUCUAUGCUAAAUAUCCCUUGAUUUUUUUGUCCCAU